UCAAUAAGCGGAGGAAAAGAAACCAACCGGGAUUGCCUUAGUAACGGCGAGUGAAGCGGCAAAAGCUCAAAUUUGAAAUCUGGUACCUUCGGUGCCCGAGUUGUAAUUUGGAGAGGGCAACUUUGGGGCCGUUCCUUGUCUAUGUUCCUUGGAACAGGACGUCAUAGAGGGUGAGAAUCCCGUGUGGCGAGGAGUGCGGUUCUUUGUAAAGUGCCUUCGAAGAGUCGAGUUGUUUGGGAAUGCAGCUCUAAGUGGGUGGUAAAUUCCAUCUAAAGCUAAAUAUUGGCGAGAGACCGAUAGCGAACAAGUACAGUGAUGGAAAGAUGAAAAGAACUUUGAAAAGAGAGUGAAAAAGUACGUGAAAUUGUUGAAAGGGAAGGGCAUUUGAUCAGACAUGGUGUUUUGUGCCCUCUGCUCCUUGUGGGUAGGGGAAUCUCGCAUUUCACUGGGCCAGCAUCAGUUUUGGUGGCAGGAUAAAUCCAUAGGAAUGUAGCUUGCCUCGGUAAGUAUUAUAGCCUGUGGGAAUACUGCCAGCUGGGACUGAGGACUGCGACGUAAGUCAAGGAUGCUGGCAUAAUGGUUAUAUGCCGCCCGUCUUGAAA
rnacentral:rRNA from 1 species